rnacentral:rRNA from 1 species
ACGCUCGACACCUACGUGAGGCAGCAGUUGGGAAUAUUGGACAAUGGAGGGAACUCUGAUCCAGUGACGCCGCGUGAAGGAAGAAGGUCUUCGGAUUGUAAACUUAUUUUAUCAGGGAAGAAAGAAAUGACAGUACCUGAAGAAGAAGGACCGGCUAACUACGUGCCAUCAGCCGCGGUAAUCUGAGCGGGCUGGCAAGGC